GUCACUUUUAACGUCGUCUGCUGCAUUUGCGCCCAAAGACGUCGCACGUCCUCGGAAGUGAACUGUGGCGGCAAGUCUGAUGAGCUGGUAAUAAGCAGAGAACUCUGAUGUUUGGCAGAUGGAGAAACCGUGCAUCUCUACUUUCCACGUUCAAAUCUGGUGAAGGUUUGCUUCAAAAAUUAGCACUGUGUCGUAAGAGAGAGAAAUAUGGGAAUGUAUAUCUUACCGAUAAUUAUACUGUUGUUGUCUAUGGUGUCCCCUAUUAUGGGCU